GACGAACGCUGGCGGCGUGCUUAACACAUGCAAGUCGAACGGAAAGGCCCUGCUUUUGUGGGGUGCUCGAGUGGCGAACGGGUGAGUAACACGUGAGUAACCUGCCCUUGACUUUGGGAUAACUUCAGGAAACUGGGGCUAAUACCGGAUAGGAGCUCCUGCUGCAUGGUGGGGGUUGGAAAGUUUCGGCGGUUGGGGAUGGACUCGCGGCUUAUCAGCUUGUUGGUGGGGUAGUGGCUUACCAAGGCUUUGACGGGUAGCCGGCCUGAGAGGGUGACCGGCGACAUUGGGACUAAGAUACGGACCAGACUCCUACGGGAGGCAGCAGUGGAGAAUAUUGCACAAUGGGCGGAAGCCUGAUGCAGCAACGCCGCGUGCGGGAUGACGGCCUACGGGGUGUAAACCGCUGUCGCCUGAGACGAAGCGUGAGUGACGGUAAUGGGUAAAGAAGCACCGGCUAACUACGUG
rnacentral:rRNA from 1 species